UAACGAGAUAGUUAAUGAUCAUAGUCGGUAUAUUCUUCAGUUGUAAUCAGUGCACUUCUUAAAUCUCUCUUUUCAUAAUUAAUGGAAUGCGUUUAAUUAAAACAAAGCAUUGCGAUGGUCUUGUGGAUGUUGACGUAAUGUGAUUUCUGUCCAAUGCUCUGAAUGUCAAAGUGAAGAAAUUCAAUCAAGCGCGGAUAAACGGCGAGAGUAACUAUGACUCUCUUAAGGUAGCCAAAUGCCUCGUCAUCUAAUUAGUGACGUGCAUGAAUGGAUUAAUGAGAUUCCCACUGUCCCUGUCUACUAUCUAUCGAAACCACAACUAAGGGAACGAGCUUGGCGGAAUCAACAGGGAAAGAAGACCCUGUUGAGCUUGACUCUAGUCCAACUUUGUGAAAUGACUUGAGAGGUGUAGGAUAAAUGGGAGCUGGAAACAUCGAAAGUGAAAUAACACUACUUUUAACGUUAUUUUACUUAUUCCGUGAAUCGGAGGCGGAGCGCUGUCCCUCUUUUUGGUCCCAAAGUUAAUUAAUGGAAUGCAUUCAUGCGUUUAUCUAUUUAUUUUAUCAACUUUUAAUUUAAUUUUCCAUGUUACUUGUAAUUGAAUUACUAAUAUUUAUUUUCUCUCUUGUUUCAUAUUUUUACUAUAUUAAUGAUAGAGUUGUUAAAACAAAUUACCCAGCUCGAUCCGGCCCAGCUCACAUGGGUUGGUCACUUAGUGAGUCAACGUAACCCGACUCAUUUAUUAGCGAGCCAAAAAAAUUUGAACUCGGUCCGACCCACCACAGGUUGGUGGUUGUGGUGGUUAACCGAGUUGACUCACCGAC
rnacentral:ncRNA from 1 species